rnacentral:rRNA from 1 species
GAUGAACGCUAGCGGCAGGCUUAACACAUGCAAGUCGAGGGGUAGAAGGAGCUUGCUCCUUUGAGACCGGCGCACGGGUGCGUAACGCGUAUGCAAUCUACCUUUUGCAGAGGGAUAGCCCAGAGAAAUUUGGAUUAAUACCUCAUAGUAUGUGAGGAUGGCAUCAUUUUCACAUUAAAGUCACAACGGCAAAAGAUGAGCAUGCGUCCCAUUAGCUAGUUGGUAAGGUAACGGCUUACCAAGGCUACGAUGGGUAGGGGUCCUGAGAGGGAGAUCCCCCACACUGGUACUGAGACACGGACCAGACUCCUACGGGAGGCAGCAGUGAGGAAUAUUGGACAAUGGGCGCAAGCCUGAUCCAGCCAUGCCGCGUGCAGGAUGACGGUCCUAUGGAUUGUAAACUGCUUUUUGUACCAGGGAAGAAACACUAACUUCGUGAAGUAGCUUGACGGUACU